UACAGAGGUCUCAAGCGUUGUUCGGAUUCAUUGGGCGUAAAGGGUGCGUAGGCGGCGCGGGUAGUCAUCGGUGAAAGUUCAGGGCUCAACUCUGAAUCGGCCGGUGAUACUCUCGUGCUUGAGCACUGUAGAGGCAGGUGGAAUUCCGGGUGUAGCGGUGGAAUGCGUAGAGAUCCGGAAGAACACCGGUGGCGAAGGCGGCCUGCUGGGCAGUAGCUGACGCUGAUGCGCGACAGCGUGGGGAGCAAACAGG
rnacentral:rRNA from 1 species